GCUGACACAUCCCGGCCAAUCUCCAUCAGACCCUCCCUCCCAGACCCUCCCUCCCAGAUCCUCCUACUUCCUGGACAGCAUCCAUGUUGAAGCAUCCAUGUUUCAACAUGGAUGCUGUCCAGGAAGUAGGAGGGUCUGGGAGGGAGGGUCUGCUGGAGAUUGGCUGGGACGUGUCAG